ACAAAAACAAGAUAUGUUCUAAAAACUGUGGAAAAUAUGGCUUUUGCAUAAAAGAAGGAGGAACAGAGCAGUGCAGGUGUUUACCGAAGUUUUCGGAGAUGGUGAAUGGAUCCUGUAUAUUGAAUGCAACAGCUGUGUGCGCAUCAAAACGUCUAGCCAGCGACUCUUCGAAGUGCGAUUGCUCUGGAAUCUUGAAGUAUGCUGAUGAUGGAAUAACUUGCAAAAAGAGAACAUGCAUUGACUUAGACGUUCAAGAGGAAUGCAAGAAGGUUGGGGCUAUGCGGUGCGAAAACAAAUGGGACAAGCCAGGAAUGGACUCAGGCGCUGGUUACGAAUGUGUGU